GAUGAACGCUAGCGGCAGGCCUAACACAUGCAAGUCGAGGGGCAACAGGUGUAGCAAUACAUGCUGGCGACCGGCGCACGGGUGAGUAACGCGUAUGCAACCUACCCAUAACAAGGGGAUAGCUUCCGGAAACGGGAAUUAAUACCCUAUAGCACCUAUAUACCGCAUGGUAUUAAGGUUAAAACUACGGUGGUUAUGGAUGGGCAUGCGUGCCAUUAGUUAGUUGGCGGGGUAACGGCCCACCAAGACUGUGAUGGCUAGGGGGUCUAAAAGGAUGAUCCCCCACACUGGUACUGAGACACGGACCAGACUCCUACGGGAGGCAG
rnacentral:rRNA from 1 species